GGAUAUAGCUCAAUUGGUAAGUGCUUGCCCUGCAAGCACAAGGCCCUGGGUUCAAUCCCCAGCACCA
rnacentral:tRNA from 1 species